GCAAACAUCUUGGCUUCAGACACUGCUUCCAAAUACACUGACUGUCAAUUACUUGUGAAGAUGAAUUUAGAAAAGAAUCAAAACAUUAACUACAAGGAGAAGAAUUAACACUGAAAUGAAGAAUCCCCUGCUGCCAGCUAUCAUAAUGGUCAUGCUUCUAAGUUCAAGAAAGGCUGUUGCUCCAGCCAAGCAUAAAUUGCUUCACCUGCUGUUAAUGGAAGAUGACCUGUAUUUAAGACCAGUGGAUGAUGGAUGUGGAAUCUGAAGAUGAGAAGACAAAUUUAGGGUGGCAAGUGCUUCUGGAGGAUGUUUUCUUUUCUUUAAGAAGUGCUACACGCAAGCGUCAUGAGGACAUAGACUCUCUUGUUCACUGCCAUAUCAUAAGGCAUGUUGUUGUGCUGAUUCCUGGAUUAAUAUUUUGUGACCUCAGAUUCCUCUGCCAACAACAGUCUCACAAAGAUUUGCUGUUUGCCAUAGUGGGGCUCAAGAGAGGGCAUGUGGGUCAUUUUUGGAACCACUCAGGAAAACAAAUUUCUCAGAUGAAGAUCCAGAUGAUAUUCUCUUCACAAAGACAUUGAAAAAUAUUUGGUGGAAGGAGCAAGAACAUCUUUGGGAAGAAAUGUAGUGACUAUUCUCUGUGCUAAGAGAUGAUAAGAAACAGACAAGACAACAAGAGAAAAAGAUAGAAGAUACCAAGAGUUGGUGAAGAAAUGCAGCAACUGAAACUCUUAUAAUACUGCUGGUGGACGUAUAAACUGCAACAAACAAUUUGGAAAACCAUUUGGCAGUGUUUACUAAA
rnacentral:lncRNA from 1 species